UAGCGGGGUGGAGCAGCGCGGUAGCUCGUCGGGCUCAUAACCCGAAGGUCGUUGGUUCAAAUCCAACCCCCGCAAA
rnacentral:tRNA from 1 species